ensembl:lncRNA
GCAGCCCAGCAGCACGGCGGCGGCGCGACCAGCGAACGGGCUCAGCUCGGCAAAACGCUCCUCCAGCAGCCCGGCCUCGGCGGGGUCCGCGCACAGCUCUAGCGUGCGCAGCUCCAGCGCGCCCCCCAGGUAGCGGCCCCGGGAGCCCGGCUCGUCGCUGUCGUCGUCGUCGUCGUCCUCGUCGUAGUCGGGUGGCCCCAGCGCGGGCCCCAGUGUCCUGGGCCCGGCCCCAGCGUGGGGUGAGCAGCACGACGAGGAAGAAGAGGAGGGCGGGGAACCCUCGCCGCCGCCGUCCCCGCCGCGGGCGCAGCCGAAGCGCGGCUCGCCGUCCACCGCCUUGGUGAUGAGCGUGGCGAGCCCCAGCAUCGGCAAGAAAAGACGUGGGGAGGCGAGACUUGGCGCGACCUAAGGAUGCAGUUUUUAAGUCAGAGCAGCCCAGCAAUCAAGUAACUUCCGUUUGCACAGCGUUUUGGAGAGCUUUCAACUGGGUGAAAUCCUCGCACAAACCUCAGAGAGGUUCAGAGAGGUUUUGGUUCUUGCCUAGUGAAGAAAAUGAAACCCAGAGAAGAGAAGGGCUCCUUUAAGGUCACGCGGUGAAUUUGUCACAGCCAGAACAAGGACUCAGGCCUCUUCAUGACUGGCAUGGUGGCCUUCCCACUCUAUCAUGGAACCUGGAGAAGUCUGGAAUGAAACAGAAGGAGUCAGAGUGUGACAGUGUCUUCGAGGGAUACCUUCAGAUUGAUGGAGGCAGGAAGACAGAUCAGGACGGGCCUCAUCUCAGAGGUUAGACAGCAUCGCUCAGUUUCUUCUGGAAGGGGGCCUGUGUGGCACAAGUCGGGCAGGGCAGGGGUGGGGAGGGACGCUUGGGCUCUGAGUUUCCACCUCUCCACGUGGCCCCCAGCCGCCAUCCUGGGCCAUUUCCUUUGCUGGCAGCAGAACUGAACCAUGAGAGGCAACACACAGACCUCAGGCGUCUUGAGGCUCUUCAGAAACAUGAGGUCAGCCCUAGGGAAUGAGGCAGCUUGGCGGGUGUCCAGGCAGCUACAGAGAUGCUGUUUGUCAGGCUCUGGGUUCCCGCUGACCCGCCUGCCAAGCUCUCGCGAGGCACAGGAAGUGCUUUGGCUCCCCCCGCCCUGGGGCCUGGGUAUAUCAGGGGCUCACUUCUGUAACGGUGUCGACUUUGUGUAUGUCAUGCCUCUGGCCGAGCUCAGAGGGUCCCGGGGACGGGGCUUCUGCCCUUUGGGGCUUAGAGGCGGCUAUAGUGGGUUGAGAAGCCACGUGGUGAAGUGGCGGGAGCUUGCUGGGCCAGGGGUUGGGUUUUUAUCUUGGUCCUUCUGCAAAGUCGCCUGUAGCCUUGGACAUGGGACUUUACUCUGGGCUCCAGCUCCUUCCUCGAUCAGCGAGGGGGCUAAUCGUGUAAAGUGACAGCCACUUCCUCCUUCUUGCUUUCUUAAUUUUUGUACUGGAACAGUCUCCCUCGCCCUGUGUGGAUGAGCUGUGAUGGGUGUGAGCCAGCAGAAACAGCCUAUUUUCCCUGAUUUUACUAGGAGAGGGCUGGUGACCCAGGUCCGGUCCCUGAAAUAUAAGGGGAUGUCUGUUAGGUGGGCUCUGAGAGGGAGUUUGCUCCCUUCUUUAAAAAGAAAAGAAAAAAAAAAAAGAUCAGGAACCUCACCUUCUUCUGGUCACUGACAGGUUGUGGAGCUGAGGCAGCCCAGAGGUGACAAAAGUCUUAAGGGAGAAAAAGCUGGCACACUGGUGAUGGCUGCCUGGAAAAGCUAUAU